rnacentral:rRNA from 1 species
AGAGGAAUAUUGGACAAUGGGCGCAAGCCUGAUCCAGCCAUGCCGCGUGCAGGAUGACGGUCCUAUGGAUUGUAAACUGCUUUUAUACAGGAAGAGACAUCUCUACGUGUAGAGACUUGACGGUACUGUAAGAAUAAGGAUCGGCUAACUCCGUGCCAGCAGCCGCGGUAAUACGGAGGAUCCAAGCGUUAUCCGGAAUCAUUGGGUUUAAAGGGUCCGUAGGCGGUUUAGUAAGUCAGUGGUGAAAGCCCAUCGCUCAACGGUGGAACGGCCAUUGAUACUGCUAGACUUGAAUUAUUAGGAAGUAACUAGAAUAUGUAGUGUAGCGGUGAAAUGCUUAGAGAUUACAUGGAAUACCAAUUGCGAAGGCAGGUUACUACUAAUGGAUUGACGCUGAUGGACGAAAGCGUGGGUAGCGAACA